GAAAGCCGUGUGCGGGCAAAUCGCAUGCACGGUUUGAUGAGGGAGGAUAGGUGAAGCAAACUAUGGCAAGGCUAUUGAGGCACCGCCAGACGAAAGGGGCGGUAACAGCUAGGCUAGGCCUAAGGAAUGCAGAGCCUGUUCUCUACUCUAC
rfam:Candidatus Accumulibacter sp. S1 isolate 3 genome assembly, contig: ACCAA_Contig_15